GGGUGUUUAGCUGUUAACUAAAAAUUUAUAGGUUUGAGUCCUAUCAAUCUAG
rnacentral:tRNA from 1 species